UGGGGAAUUUUGGACAAUGGGCGAAAGCCUGAUCCAGCAAUGCCGCGUGUGUGAAGAAGGCCUUCGGGUUGUAAAGCACUUUUGUCCGGAAAGAAAUCCUCUGGGUUAAUACCUCGGGGGGAUGACGGUACCGGAAGAAUAAGCACCGGCUAACUACGUGCCAGCAGCCGCGGUAAUACGUAGGGUGCAAGCGUUAAUCGGAAUUACUGGGCGUAAAGCGUGCGCAGGCGGUUUUGUAAGACGGAUGUGAAAUCCCCGGGCUUAACCUGGGAACUGCAUUCGUGACUGCAAGGCUAGAGUAUGGCAGAGGGGGGUAGAAUUUCACGUGUAGCAGUGAAAUGCGUAGAGAUGUGGAGGAAUACCGAUGGCGAAGGCAGCCCCCUGGGCCAAUACUGACGCUCAUGCACGAAAGCGUGGGGAGCAAACAGGAUUAGAUACCCUGGUAGUCCACGCCCUAAACGAUGUCAACUAGUUGUUGGGGAUUCAUUUCCUUAGUAACGUAGCUAACGCGUGAAGUUGACCGCCUGGGGAGUACGGUCGCAAGAUUAAAACUUAAAUGAAUUGACGGGGUCAUAGCUGUUUCCU
rnacentral:rRNA from 1 species